rnacentral:rRNA from 1 species
AACGAACGCUGGCGGCAGGCUUAACACAUGCAAGUCGAGCGCCCCGCCAGGGGUUCGGCAGACGGGUGAGUAACGCGUGGGAACGUACCUUUUGGUUCGGAACAACUCCGGGAAACUGGAGCCAAUACCGGAUAAGCCCUAACGGGGAAAGAUUUAUCGCCGAAAGAUCGGCCCGCGGCUGAUUAGCUAGUUGGUGAGGUAUCGGCACACCGAGGCGACGAUCAGGAGCUGGUCUGAGAGGAUGAGCAGUCACACGGGGUCUGGGCCACGGCCCAGACCGCUACGCAGCGCAGGAGUAGGGAGUAUUAUGGCAUGGGCCCUAGUCUGGUCCCGCCAUGCCGCGUGAGUGAUGACGGCCUUGGGGUUGUAACGCUCUUUUGUCCGAGAAGAUAAUGACUGUACCGGAAGAAUAAGCCCCGGCUAACUUCGUG